AGAAUCAACGCUGGCGGCGUGCCUAACACAUGCAAGUCGCACGAGAAAGGGUAGCAAUACCUGAGUAAAGUGGCGCACGGGUGAGUAACACGUGAAUAAUCUACCUCCGAGUGGGGAAUAACUCGAGAGAAAUCUUAGCUAAUACCGCAUAACACUUACGAGUCAAAGCAGCAAUGCGCUUGGAGAGGAGUUCGCGGCCGAUUAGUUAGUUGGCGGGGUAAUGGCCCACCAAGACGAUGAAUCGGUAUCC
rnacentral:rRNA from 1 species